rnacentral:rRNA from 1 species
GCGCAUGCAGGUGGUUUGUUAAGUCAGAUGUGAAAGCCCGGGGCUCAACCUCGGAAUUGCAUUUGAAACUGGCAAACUAGAGUACUGUAGAGGGGGUAGAAUUUCAGGUGUAGCGGUGAAAUGCGUAGAGAUCUGAAGGAAUACCGGUGGCGAAGGCGGCCCCCCUCGGACAGAUACUGACACUCAGAUGCGAAAGACGUGGGGAGCAAACAGGAUUAGAUACCCCCGGUAG